UACGAAGGGGGCUAGCGUUGUUCGGAAUUACUGGGCGUAAAGCGCGCGCAGGCGGCUUUCCAAGUCAGUGGUGAAAUCCCGAAGCUUAACUUCGGAAUUGCCAUUGAAACUGGAGAGCUAGAGGACGGAAGAGGUGAGUGGAAUUCCCAGUGUAGAGGUGAAAUUCGUAGAUAUUGGGAAGAACACCGGUGGCGAAGGCGGCUCACUGGUCCGUUUCUGACGCUCAGGCGCGACAGCGUGGGGAUCAAACAGG
rnacentral:rRNA from 1 species